rnacentral:rRNA from 1 species
UACGGAGGGUGCAAGCGUUAUCCGGAUUCACUGGGUUUAAAGGGUGCGUAGGUGGGCAGGUAAGUCAGUGGUGAAAUCUCCGGGCUUAACUCGGAAACUGCCAUUGAUACUAUCUGUCUUGAAUACCGUGGAGGUCAGCGGAAUAUGUCAUGGUAGCGGUGAAAUGCUUAGAUAUGACAUAGAACACAAUUGCGAAGGCGCUGGCAACACGAA